ACCAUCCAUUCACGCACAUGUUCGUCGGUCUGUUCCCUCAAAACCCUAUCCCUUUCUCUGAAACCCUCCUAAUGUUUCAAUCCUCUCCAAUGGCGGCGACAGACGAACCCUCCGAUCACUCCUCGUUUCCAUCGUAUUCGGUAAACCAUUCGGAUGAUAAUGGCAGCGCCGCCGAAGCCGGAGAAAUCUAAGUAGCACUCGUAGGUGUCGUCAUCGCCAUCGUCUUCAGCGUCGCCAUUGGAGCUCGAAGUGUAGCUCUUGCCCUCAUCGAAGUUUGGGUUUGAUUUUCACUUGGUACAGUUCUUCUUUGCUUGCAUGCCUUCAUUAGUAUGCGCGCUAUGAAAUCAGAAGGAUGGAAGCGGUAAUUGCUCUUCAAUUCUUUGGUUGAGGCCGCAACACCAAAGCAAGCAAUGUUCAGCAGGUGAAGAGGUCUCUGGUGAUUGCGUUUUCUCCAGUUCUGGACAAUGCAAAGACAGUAGGGCUGAUUUCUCUUCUGGGAGCAAUGAUGGGGAUGAUAAUGGACAGGGCAUCACCAUUCAAACCAGAUAGUAGUCACCGGUGAGAUCUCAGGCCCUUCCUUUUCUCUUCUAUAUCUCUACAGUGAUCCAAGUUCUUGUUCCUAAUUUUAAUCGUAUUAAUGGUAUUGUUUGUUAGAUCUGGAGAUGAGGCCUUCUCCGAUGGUGUCAUUGAUGUGUUUUGGUGUUUUUCUUGGGAUUUUGUUAUUAGAUUCAUAGUUUUUCUCUUUAAAUUCUCACUGUUAAGAUGAUUUUUAUGAUUGAAAUUAAAGGAAUGGUCAUGAACUUGAUUACAUCUCAAAUGUUUUCAUUGAAGUGUUUAAUCUUUGAUGAUAAGUUUGAUAGUAAUGGCUUUGAUCUUUCUUAGUUUUGUUGAAUCCUGAGCAUUUUCUGUUUUUCCUAUGAACCAUGCAUUAGCUAUUACUUGUGAUUUGCAAGUAAGCAAUUGAUUUGCCUGCUUUUAAUUCCUCAAGUUACAUUGCCAUUGUUUUGAUGUUGCUUUUGAUCAUAUAUGAUGACUUUGAGCUAAGAUUUGAUGUGCUUUAUGUGGAAAGGCGUUUUUGAGAAUUAAAAUUGCUUGUAUUAGUAUAAGAAUGGUAAGGUCAUGAAUUGGAGUCUUCAUUAUGAUGUAUUUGUUUAGUUUGAUUCAUCAUUUAGGACCCAUGAGGUGCAAUGAAUACCUAAAAAAGUGUUUUAUGAAUAUCUUUUUUAUUUUUUUUUAGGAAUGUAACAUCAUAUUGAAGUAUAAGAAUGAGGCCAGUGAAUUAGAGUGAAUGCAUUUGUAGCAGUUGUUGCCUUGGGGCCUUGCUUUUGAUGUAUUAUUUUGUUUUCAACUGUUCUAUUAGAGCCUAUAGUAUAUGGUUUUAGGGUAUUGAAUGCCUUAUUGGGAGGGAUUAUAGGAUUCAAGUUACAAUUAAUAGAAGAAAGAUUGAUUUUGGAGUGUCAUUUUUUCUUUGUGUGUACUUAACAUUGUAUUUAAAUUAAAGUAUGAUAAGGUCGGUGACUCGGUUUGUAUGUAUUUGCCAUAGAUGUUGUCUUAUAUUUCAAUUGUAGAUAGUAGUCAUGAACAUGCUCAUCAGCGUGUCAAUGGUUGUAGAGGAAUACGCAGUUUGAACUGGAUCCCGAAAGACUUGGUUACAUCGAGCUUUGGCAGCUAGAGACAUUGCUACUAUAGAAGGACAUGUACUUGAGCUACAGUACCAAUACCAAUGAGGUAUCGGUGGAGAAAGGGGUGUUGAUGGGGUUGGUAGUGAGGGAUGGAAGGAAAGUGUAUGUGUUGGUAGGGGAGAAGGAGGAUGAUGAUGAUGAUAGUGGUGAUGAUGUCGAUGGGGGAAUUUUGGGAAGGAAAUUUAGGAUUGAAGAGGUGGUAGAUUUGGGGAAGAAUGGAGGAAAUGAUAUGAUUUUGGCGAUGGUUCUGUUAGGUUUUGGUUUGGCUUAUUUUUAGUAUUGGAGAUUUCAGAUGGGAAAGCUCGCUUCCUCUUUGAACAAGAAGAGAGCUUGAUCCUAGGACUAUGUGUGUGAGGAGCUUGAUUGAACUGUUAGAUUAGAUGAUAUAUUCAGACCAAAAAGUUUGAUUUGUGAUUUUACAGCAAAACAGUGAAGAAAUGUUUGUGACUAAUGAAUUCCCAGUGUUCUGCUACUGUGAGUUGAGGACAGGAAAUCAGCUGGAUUUUUUUUUUUUUUAAAAGCAAUUUUUUUCAGAUUAUUUGUAUUUUUUUCUCUAUUUAAUUUGAAAUGUUAUGUUAUUAUGUCUUCAACAUUUUAAUGUUAAAUAAAGCUGGUUGCUGGUUUGCAACAUUCAUAACCA